ensembl:lncRNA
ACACAAUGGCCUUUCCUUUCUCUAAACGUCCCUUUGAGAUGGGCCUCUUGCAGCUCUCCUCUCUUCCCAGAACAAGAGAACAAAUACCAGGAAAUCUGGAGAGAUGAACUGCAUGGAGCUGGCUGCGGUGCAGGAGCGUGGAGCAGCCCCAUCUUUCUCAUAGCUCUGCUGCUGGCUGGUCCCCAGCCGGAGGCCAGGUAAACCUCCAGCCAGGAAGGAUGGUCCCUCUGCUGCUGGCAGUUUUCUGCUGAGGCCCUCAGACUCCUUCCUGAGUCUCUGCAUGUCUGCCAGAGCUAUCAUGUCCCUGCGAGAGCAUUUGCCCACCACAUCAGAUAACCCCUCCUUCAUUCCUCUGACAGGAUCCAGUCUUCUAUUAUUUACUGAUGUCACUGUAGCCUAGGAGAGAAAUCAACACAGUCAUGAAUUAUGGACAAUGCUGGUAGGACAUUUCACUCUGAUUGUUUGAUUUGAGUGUGAACAAACACCAGAUAAUUAAAGAUGAGUUCAAGCUACAACACUCACUUCUGUCUCCUGAAUUGCCCUGCGUGGUGAGAAGUGUCUGGAUUGAGUGCAUAAUUACAAAGGGAAGAUCCUUCAGCAAAACCAGCCAGUAGGUCUGAGUUGAGAAAGUACUGAGGAGCUCUUCUUCAUAGACCCAAACUACAGCACUCCACGUUCUCCUUGACAUAGUCAAACGCAAGUGAACUUUUGCCUGCCCUCCAAGUUUAUAGCUUGUAUUGCUGGUUGCAAAGCUGAGAGAAUUAAACAUGUUGACUUUGGGUCUGGAGGACUCCUUAGCUUGGGUGUUUGAGCUUUAGCUCAUCGUUUUGAACUCCUGGACAUCACACUGGUGAAUGCUGGCUUUGCUGUCGGAUGAAGGCCACAGCUGGCAGCCAAACAUUUGACCUGGGGAGCAAAGCCCAUUACUGUGUGACUCACAGGGUAAAAUCAACAACAACAAAAGCCUUAUAAACACAGCCCAACUCAACUGCUCUGUAAAAUGCCACUACGGCAGCAGCAGCACGGAGCAGUAUUUUUACCACUUGGGAGGAAAGAAGGCUUUCUUUCCUCCCAGGAAACCUUUUUGGGUGUGACAUUAAACAAGCACUUGUUCCUAGAAGCUGCAGAUUUGGCUUAAAGAACACUGGAACUGAGCUGGGGUGAUUGUUACUCAGCACCUGAAUUGCACUGAUGCCUGUGACUCCUCUCACAGUGUAUGUACCAAGUGCUGCUGCAUGGCACACAUCGUGGCCUGGGUGGACAACUCAGUCCCCAGGGAAGUGUCGAGCAACUCCCCUGGCAUUGAUGAAACCCACAGGAAAGCCACUUGAGGUGGGGAGAAGCGUUCUUCAUGCUGGUUGGUUCACAUUUUACGUGCAGUUGUAAAAUUUAAGAGGUCAUUUAGUAUGCAAUCAGCAGAUAGAGUAAGGCAUUUUUUUUACAUCAGAACAGUAGCAGGCUGUAUCCAGCAACUGAUCGUUAGCUCUGAUGGGCACACGGGGACUCUCCAACCUCAUACAAGGACACUGCAGCCCUUUGGGGAACUUGGAAAUCCUGGUGGCUUCUAGGUCCCCUCCAGCUUUGGUCCUACACACAGGGUGAAGGCACUGAAUGGCAGUCGAUGGCCUGUCCCACCAGAGUCCGGAUGGAAAAUAUGGAUUUCCUUUAAAUGCUCAAGAGAGGGAGUGGACUCUCAGAUGCAGUUGUCCUUGUAAAACAGGGAGACUGAGGACUGCCAGGACUCAGGCUUUCCAUGUAUACACUGACCCUGGUGGUCUGAGCACCAGAUCAGACAUUGCAGCGCCCACCUGGGGCCUUGUGCUUGUGGUAGGCCUGUCCUUCCUUGGAGAUAAAGGGAAUUACAGAUUCAUAGAACCACAGAAUAGAACAUGGAAAGGACCCACAAGGAUCAUCGAGUCCAACUCCUUGCUCCACACAGCACCACCCAAAAUCCAAACCUGAAAGCAUUGUUCACGUGCUCCUUGAAUGCUCGGUCUCCUCUUCUCUGGGCUGAACAAACCAAAGGAUCUCAAUCACCCCUCAUACACCUUGCUUUCCAGACCAUUCUCCACUUUUGCAGCUCUCCCUUGGAGCCUCUGUAGUACUUUUAUGUCCUUAAUAUUAUAUUGUGGUGCCCCAAACUGCUUGCUGUACUCAAGGUGAGGCCACACCAGCAGAGAGUACAGCAGGAGUGCAAAGUAAAGACCCUCUGCACUGCCAUCUCAGAGGAUCCCAUCAUGGAUCAAGAGGAUAAUACUAAAAAAGACUCCAUAACCCACAACUUCUACGUGACACUUUAGUGCAGACCCCUGUCUCCUAUUCGGGCCAGCCCCAGCGUGCCAUCUCCUGCUGCUCCUUCAAAAUGAAGAAGGAUGCUCUUACUGGAGGAUGCUUUCAAGCUCAGGGGCACUUAGAAACCCAAGGUUCAAGGCUGGGAACAAGCUGACAUUGUGCACGGAGGCAGAAGAAAACACAACUAUUGAGGCAUGAGGUGCUCAACUCAGGAACAGCAAUCACUGCUUGUUUGGCUUACGUACAUCCAUUGGGGUUGUCAGGAGUAGGACGUAAGAGCAUGACCAGUGCUGAAAUUCCAAAGUUUUCUGAGUGCUGCAUGGGGGGAAACUCAAAGAGAAGACUUCUUGGAGGACAGUCUUGAAGAACAGAGGCUCCUCUCCAGACUCCAAAGGCUGCUUUGCAAUUUGGAAACCUGGAGAUCCAAAAGCUGCAAACAGCUGGAAGGCAGCACUUGGGGACCUCAACAGGACAGGCACAGCCUCGGGGCAGAGCAGCAUCACCCUCCAACAGCUCACAGGAGGGAUCAUGAAGAGGAGCAGAGCAGCUUUACCCUCAGAAAGAAAAGCAAGACCUGGGCAUGGACUUAUCCAAUGAUUAUUUGCAUGCUCUGAACUGUGAGUUUGGACGGAACCAGCUAUUUCUCUCCCCAGACAUGGCUUGGAAGGAAGCAGUAGAAGGGGGCUGCACCUUAGAAGCAGGCUGGAUGCAGCCACCUUGUUUUCAAAGCCAGGUCAAGUACAUGCAUGCCUCAGGCCCUGCAUAGUUUGCUGGAAGCCUAAAAAUCCCCCCAGUGCUGGGAAAUCAUUGUGAACCUCACAUGCAUGUUGCUGUGGCUUGGCUUAUGUCUGGAGGGAUGUAUCUGGAUGAUUUUGUUGCCUUAAGGACUGAAAUGAGCUAAGGGAAGGCAAGCAUCACUG